rnacentral:rRNA from 1 species
UACGGGGGGGGGUAAGCGUUGUUCGGAAUUACUGGGCGUAAAGGGCUCGUAGGCGGCCAACUAAGUCAGACGUGAAAUCCCUCAGCUUAACUGGGGAACUGCGUCUGAUACUGGAUGGCUUGGAUUCGGGAGAGGAAUGCGGAAUUCCAGGUGUAGCGGUGAAAUGCGUAGAUAUCUGGAGGAACACCGGUGGCGAAGGCGGCAUCCUGGACCAACACUGACGCUGAGGAGCGAAAGCCAGGGGAGCAAAGCGGG